UUUCCUACGUAUUCUACCAAUAAAUGAAUGUAAAGCCCCAGCCGGCCGAAACCGUUUUAUAUAUGGUGCAUCGACGACUUACGGUCUCGGUGCUACUUCAAAGACCCGCGUGGCCGGCGGGCCGGCUGCGGGCUCAUACGGGACUAUAUUCACUACUUUUGGAGCUGUGAACAUCUGGUUCACAGUCGUCAUCGAGGCAAGCGAACAGGACAUCACCGGAAGAGGACGAGCAAAAUAAUCAAAUUUGCACCCAUUGCCAAACGAGCGGCAGAUUCCGAUUCAAAUGAACAAAGUACGCCUGGAUCUGCGAUGGGUCCGAUCCAACCGAGAUGGGCGAGGUUGGAAGCAAGGGUGGACGGACAUUAACCGAAAUAUCCGCUGAUCGAUUUUUUUUUCUCAAAAAUACGUAUAUUUUUAGCUACUUCCCAACUGACUUUAUCGUGUGCAUUUCAAACUUAGCUGUUGUAUUCAUAUUGAAUCAAAUACAAAAAUUCAAAGUUGUAUACCUUUUUUCGUCAAAAACACUACAGAAAUGAUAGUUAGCUCCUUGUAGCAGGCGGCGUUUUGGCACUUGAAUGCUGUGAAUAAAUUUUAUGAUUUCUACA
ensembl:ncRNA C04G2.14 ncRNA